rnacentral:sRNA from 1 species
GCCAGGCAUGGUGGCAUGUGCCUGUAGUCCCAGCUAUUCAGGAGGCUGAGGCAGGAAGAUCACUUGAGCCCGGGAGGUCGAGGCUGCAGUGAGCUGAGAUUGCACCACUGCACUUUAGCCUGGGCAAUAGAGUGAGACCCUGUCUCAA